ACAUUGAAAUACCGGUUUCCAUACGAUCACUGAAGUUAAGCAACGUUAAGCCUGGGCAGUACCUUGAUGGGUAACGCUUGUGAAUACCAGGUGCUGUAA